rnacentral:lncRNA from 1 species
GCUGCAGGGCCGUGCCCUCUCUCACGUGCCUAGCGAGGACCCCUCCGGCUCUGGGGACUGCUGGCAGCCUCAGCUCUCCUUGUGUUGCAGCUCAUCAGUCCAGUGGGCCACCGUGGUCACUGGCCUUCACAGGAGGACACCGUCAGUGGAUUAGGGCUCACCCUAACCCAGCACUUGACACCCAGUCCUAACUAAUCACAUGUGCCAAGCUCUGUUUCAGUGCCACCUUCUGAGGUUCCAAGGCAUGAGUCUUGGAGGGACACCAUUCAACCCAGCUCAAGUGGCAGCUGGGACUGUGACAUGGCAUGUAUAAUUUGUAACAUGUGAAAUGUCUCUAUGCAUGAAAUGACAUAAAACACAUUAAAGAACAGCUAAAUAGACAGCUGACGGGCAUUGCUGUCCUGUGGACUGGUCCAGGGGUCAGCAGCCCAACAGAAAUCUCACCAGGAAAACCAGGACACUCCAGGGCACUUGCCACACUGUACCGAGCACCAGUCCUUCCCGUGGAGCUAGCGGGGGCCAGGACAUGGAGACCCACACACAAGCGCGGACAGCCCUGACACAGGCGUGGCAAACAUGGAGGCUUGACGCACUGACCGGUGCUGCGCUGCCACCCAGGGCCGUGGAGGAGAGUCAGCUUGUGGCACGAGGACAACCGGCCAUGUGUGGAGUGCGGGUGGAGGCUCUGCAAUAAGGGCCCCGCCCCAAACAGCUUGAAAAUCAUCUCCAGAUGGGUCAGCCACAAAUAGGAAAAUCUAAGCACUAAGUAUUUCAGAGAGUAUAAAGGGUAGGAAAGGAUUUCUUAAGACCAAAACAACAAAGCAUAAAAGUAAAGUUUGAUAUUUUGUGUUCACCAAACUAAAAUCUUAAUUCGUACAUGAAUGUUCACAGCAACGCUUUUCAUAAUAGCCCAAGGGUAGCAACAGCCCCAUGGCCAUCGAUGGCUGGAAGCAUAAACAGACUGGAAUAGCCACACCGGGGACCCUAUCAGCACUUAAAGGAACAAAGUGCUGUCACAUGCCACAAGCUGAUGAACCCAAGAAUAUUGGGCUAAAGGCUGGGACGGGCUCCUAGUGGGCUGCUUGCUGGCAUGUGUGAAGCCCUGGGUUCCUCCCCAGGGCCAUGCACACACUAAGAAGCCAAGCACACAAAGCCA